rnacentral:rRNA from 1 species
UACGUAGGUGGCAAGCGUUUGUCCGGAAUUAUUGGGCGUAAAGCGCGCGCAGGCGGUCCUUUAAGUCUGAUGUGAAAGCCCACGGCUCAACCGUGGAGGGUCAUUGGAAACUGGGGGACUUGAGUGCAGGAGAGGGAAGUGGAAUUCCCGGUGUAGUGGUGAAAUGCGUAGAUAUCGGGAGGAACACCAGUGGCGAAGGCGACUUCCUGGCCUGUUCUUGACGCUGAGGCGCGAAAGCUAGGGGAGCAAACGGGG